rnacentral:rRNA from 1 species
UACGGAGGAUGCGAGCGUUAUCCGGAUUUAUUGGGUUUAAAGGGUGCGUAGGCGGAUCGUUAAGUCAGUGGUCAAAUUGAGGGGCUCAACCCCUUCCCGCCAUUGAAACUGGCGAUCUUGAGUGGAAGAGAAGUAUGCGGAAUGCGUGGUGUAGCGGUGAAAUGCAUAGAUAUCACGCAGAACCCCGAUUGCGAAGGCAGCAUGCCGGCUUCCUACUGACGCUGAAGCACGAAAGCGUGGGGAGCGAACAGG